GAGUUUGAUCCUGGCUCAGGAUUAACGCUAGCGGCAUGCCUAAUACAUGCAAGUCGAACGAAAGUAGCAAUACUUUAGUGGCGAACGGGUGAGUAACACGUAUCUAACCUACCAUUUAGUGAGGAAUAACUGUUGGAAACAACAGCUAAUACCGCAUAUGUUAUUUAUUUGCAAUGAUAAAUAAUGAAAGGAGCAUUUGCUUCGCUAAUUGAUGGGGAUGCGGCGCAUUAACUAGUUGGUAAGGUAAUGGCUUACCAAGGUAACGAUGCGUAGCCGAUCUGAGAGGAUGAACGGCCACAUUGGGAAUGAGACACGGCCCAAACUUCUACGGAAGGCAGCAGUAGGGAAUUUUUCACAAUGGGCGAAAGCCUGAUGGAGCAAUGCCGCGUGACUGAUGAAGGUCUUCGGAUUGUAAAAGUCUGUUGUAAGAGAAGAAGUGCUAGAAUAGGAAAUAAUUUUAGUAUCGACCAUACCUUACCAGAAAGCCACGGGCUAAAUA
rnacentral:rRNA from 1 species